UUAAGGUUGCUUGGUUUUUUACUAAACAUUAACUGAAUGAAAACGGUUAGUCCUUGUUGUUCUGCUUGGGGGGCUUUGGUGAAGCAAAUGGACUUUCAGAACAGAGAUUGUCAAUAAAGAUAUGGAUUUCCCCUGCAGAUUUACACCUUCCCAAGAGGAUGCAUCUGGGAACCAGUAACAUUUUCUUUUAUGAACAAUAUUAUGAAUGUAAUGUCUGAUAUCUUAGCACAUGGCUGCUUCUACCAAACAGGAGUUGUAUAUCAUUGGAAAACAUGCAUUCCCAAUGGGAGUUGGCACAUGCUUCGAGCCCUGGAAAAGCCUAAGAAAUAUAGGUCUGGGAAGGAACAACAGAGGUCAUCUAGUUCAUCCCCCACACUGAGGUCAUCACCAUUUGUUACAGACCAUGUAGGAAGAAGAGCUGACCUGAAGAAGAGUUCUGUGAGCUCAGCAGUAGCACCAAGGGGCAUGGAAAGAGGGUGCAUUAUUAGAAUAUGUGACCACUUGACCUUAUAACUGUUACCCUCAUCCUCCCUCCCCACCUCCCGUCUAGUAUUGCUUACCGCACUUGCUGCAAGUUGUUAGAUUGCAGACUGUUUGGGGCAGGGGCUGUGUCUGCUUCUGGGCUUGUGCAGUGUCUAGCAGAAAGAGGACCCAAUCCUGCAAGAGACCUCUGAGCAUACUGAAAUAUGUAUAAUAAUAAAGAGCUUUUGUAAGUAGCUGAGAGAGCAGUGACACACCACAGCUGUGUAUAUUAUGUGAAAAUCUAGAUUAUUAGGGCACAAGUGUGAUCAGAAUAGGGCCUUUAAUGCCUUAAAAGUUCACUUUGAUUCUGGAAUAUAUAGAUGGGGCUAGCUAGUGGGAACAAAUUAAUGUGAUGAGGUGUACAGUAUGCAUAGAAAGAACUGCAGCUGUCAGCCAGGGUAGGGAGCAGGGAUGCUAUGAUCUGUUACAGCUUUCAUUAACUAUUGAAUUAUUUUGAAAAUACUUUUAGUAGGAUUAAUUUCUUUUGGUUUCCUUCUUAUUUUCCUGGAGCACAAUAGAAAGCUGACUAAAAUGAAACCUUUGAGGAGUGUUUCAUCAUUUGAGAUCUAGGUUAAGUUAAAAAAAUUGAAAUGAGUUGACUUAUAGUUGUUUCGAUUUUUUUUUAAAUUAUUUUAUUUUAUAGCAAGUAUGGAAUUAGUUUGAACUUGUCGUUGUCUUGGCAGGGAAAAUAAACAUUAAAUAGAAGCAAAGUCAAUCACAUUUGAACAUUUGCAUUUUUACCAUUGAGUGUGUUUACCUGAAUUAUCAUCUUGUAGCAAACAUCUUUGCUUUGCUUUGAUCUCAUGCUACCAAAGAUAUUUUACACGAAGCAAUCAUUAAAAACCCCACACACAAUUAUGACAAUUUCUGAAAAGCUCAUCAAUUAAUAUAAGGUGCAGGGGCUUUUCAUUUUAAUUUUAAUGUGCUGUAGUGUAGAAUUAAAAAAAUAAUGAAGUGUUUUAAAGAAUCCUUAGAUUUUUACUUCCUCCUAAUAUAGCAGCAGGAGAUGUGUGCUUGAUGUGAAAAAUGAUGGUGAAGGGGACUAGAUUGGACAACUUUUAGGACAAAUAAGGUACCGAAUGAUGAACCAAUAGGGUACUGUGUGCUAUUGAGUUAAUAGAAAUAAAACAUUCUUUGAGA